GUUCUUUUAUUGAAGAAGAAAAAAUAGUGGAAAAACUAUCUUGACGUUAUUCAAUGAAUAAGCCCCGGCUAACUAUGUGCCAGCAGCCGCGGUAAGACAUAGGGGGCGAGCGUUAUCCGGAAUUAUUGGGCGUAAAGGGUGCGUAGGCGGUUAGAUAAGUCUAUAAUUUAAUUUCAGUGCUUAACGCUGUCUUGUUAUAGAAACUGUCUUGACUAGAGUGAGAUAGAGGCAAGCGGAAUUCCAUGUGUAGCGGUAAAAUGUGUAAAUAUAUGGAGGAACACCAGAAGCGUAGGCGGCUUGCUGGGUCUUUACUGACGCUGAGGCACGAAAGCGUGGGGAGCAAACAGGAUUAGAUACCCUGGUAGUCCACGCUGUAAACGAUGAGUACUAAGUGUCGGGGAAACUCGGUACUGAAGUUAACACAUUAAGUACUCCGCCUGAGUAGUACGUACGCAAGUAUGAAACUUAAAGGAAUUGACGGGACUCCGCACAAGCGGUGGAUCAUGUUGUUUAAUUCGAAGAUACACGAAAAACCUUACCAGGUCUUGACAUACUCUGCAAAGCUAUAGAAAUAUAGUGGAGGUUAUCAGGGAUACAGGUGGUGCAUGGUUGUCGUCAGUUCGUGUCGUGAGAUGUUAGGUUAAGUCCUAAAACGAACGCAACCCCUGUCGUUAGUUGCCAGCA
rnacentral:rRNA from 1 species